AGCAGUCGCCGCGGUAAUACAGAGGGUGCGAGCGUUAAUCGGAUUUACUGGGCGUAAAGCGUGCGUAGGCGGCUUUUUAAGUCGGAUGUGAAAUCCCUGAGCUUAACUUAGGAAUUGCAUUCGAUACUGGGAAGCUAGAGUAUGGGAGAGGAUGGUAGAAUUCCAGGUGUAGCGGUGAAAUGCGUAGAGAUCUGGAGGAAUACCGAUGGCGAAGGCAGCCAUCAGGCCUAAUACUGACGCUGAGGUACGAAAGCAUGGGGAGCAAACAGGAUUAGAUACCCCCGUAGUCCCUGUCUCUUAUAC
rnacentral:rRNA from 1 species